GUGGUCUCUUUGGCAGCACAUAUACAGAAAUUGGAAUGAUGCAGAGAUUAGUGUGGCCCUGCACUAGGAUGACAUGUAAAUUCAUGAAAUGUUUCACUUUUUU